rnacentral:rRNA from 1 species
AAUAACAAGGAUCCCCUAGUAACUGCGAGUGAAGCGGGAAAAGCUCAAAUUUAAAAUCUGGCGGUCUUUGGCCGUCCGAGUUGUAGUCUGGAGAAGUGCUUUCCGCGCUGGACCGUGUACAAGUCUCUUGGAACAGAGCGUCAUAGAGGGUGAGAAUCCCGUCUUUGACACGGACUACCAGUGCUUUGUGAUGCGCUCUCAAAGAGUCGAGUUGUUUGGGAAUGCAGCUCAAAAUGGGUGGUGAAUUCCAUCUAAAGCUAAAUAUUGGCGAGAGACCGAUAGCGAACAAGUACCGUGAGGGAAAGAUGAAAAGCACUUUGGAAAGAGAGUUAAACAGUACGUGAAAUUGCUGAAAGGGAAACGCUUGAAGUCAGUCGCGUCGUCCGGAACUCAGCCUUGCUUCGGCUUGGUGCACUUUCCGGAUGACGGGCCAGCAUCGAUUUUGACCGCCGGAAAAGGGUAGGAGAAAUGUGGCACCUUCGGGUGUGUUAUAGUCUCCUAUCGCAUACGGCGGUUGGGAUCGAGGAACGCAGCGCGCCUUAUGGCUGGGGUUCGCCCACAUUCGCGCUUAGGAUGCUGGCAUAAUGGCUUUAAACGACCCGUCUUGAAACACGGACCAAGGAGUCUAACAUACCUGCGAGUGUUUGGGUGGAAAACCCGAGCGCGUAAUGAAAGUGAAAGUUGAGACCUCUGUCGUGGAGGGCAUCGACGCCCGGACCUGACGUUCUCUGACGGAUCCGCGGUAGAGCAUGUAUGUUGGGACCCGAAAGAUGGUGAACUAUGCCUGAAUAGGGUGAAGCCAGAGGAAACUCUGGUGGAGGCUCGUAGCGAUUCUGACGUGCAAAUCGAUCGUCAAAUUUGGGUAUAGGGGCGAAAGACUAAUCGAACCAUCUAGUAGCUGGUUCCU